rnacentral:rRNA from 1 species
UGAUUCCUACGGGAGGCAGCAGUGAGGAAUAUUGGUCAAUGGGCGGGAGCCUGAACCAGCCAAGCCGCGUGAAGGAAGAAGGCGCCAGGCGUCGUAAACUUCUUUUGUCGGGGAACAAAGGGCGCCACGUGUGGCGUUGUGAGUGUACCCGAAGAAAAAGCAUCGGCUAACUCCGUGCCAGCAGCCGCGGUAAUACGGAGGAUGCGAGCGUUAUCCGGAUUUAUUGGGUUUAAAGGGAGCGUAGGUGGAUUGUUAAGUCAGUUGUGAAAGUUUGCGGCUCAACCGUAAAAUUGCAGUUGAAACUG